UGAUCGCCAACUGGAGAGCGAUGGCUUUGCUUGGCAAAGCAGCAUCCACCGAAGGGGCAAGCUGACUCUGACUUAUCCGUGAUGGGCGAGCAGCAUAAACUCUCAGGUACACAGGACAGAGGGGGAGGC
rfam:Oblitimonas alkaliphila strain E5571 chromosome.